rnacentral:rRNA from 1 species
ACCGGAGUGGACGCAUCACUGGUGUUCGGGUUGUCAUGCCAAUGGCACUGCCCGGUAGCUAAAUGCGGAAGAGAUAAGUGCUGAAAGCAUCUAAGCACGAAACUUGCCCCGAGAUGAGUUCUCCCUGAGACUUUGAGUCUCCUGAAGGAACGUUAAAGACGAUGACGUUGAUAGGCCGGGUGUGUAAGCGCAGCGAUGCGUUGAGCUAACCGGUACUAAUGAACCGUGAGGCUUAACCUUACAACGCCGAAG